AUGAGUGCUUUUAAGCUCCCUUUAGCAGUCUGUGAUGAUCUAAACCAGAUGGUACGUAACUACUAUUGGGGUGCUGAGAAAGGUAAACGCAAAACACACUGGUACGCUUGGGAUAAAAUGACAAGGCCGAAGUCCCUUGGCCGUUUGGGUUUUAGGGACUUUCGACUCUUCAAUCAAGCGCUACUAGCCAGGCAAGCAUGGAGAUUGAUUGCGUUCCCAAAUAGCCUUUGUGCUAGACUCUUGAAAGCAAAAUAUUACCCUAAUGGUAGACUAGAUGACACCGUGUUUACUGGUAAUCCAUCCCCAUCAUGGCAGGCUAUCAGUUAUGGGUUGGAUCUGCUGAAGAAGGGGCUGGUUUGGAGGAUCGCAAAUGGCCAGAAUGUUAGAAUAUGGAGGGACAGAUGGGUGGUGCGCGAGCCCUCAGGCGGAUUGAUCUCGAGGAAGGGGCGUUGUAGGUUCAAGUGGGUGUCUGAGCUCAUGGAUUAUAAUGGAACAUGGGACCAAACCAAACUAGAACAAUUCUUUUUACCCGUUGACAUAUGUGAGAUCUUGAAAAUACGGCCAUCUCCACGACUUGGUGUAGACUUUCUUGCUUGGGCACCAGAGAAGUCGGGCAUCUUUACUGUGCGCAGUGCUCAUUGACUUGCGUCG
rnacentral:rRNA from 1 species